rnacentral:rRNA from 1 species
AUUGAACGCUGGCGGCAGGCCUAAUACAUGCAAGUCGAGCGGGGUUUUCGGACCUAGCGGCGGACGGGUGAGUAAUGCGUAGGAAGCUGCCCGAUAGAGGGGGAUACCAGUUGGAAACGACUGUUAAUACCGCAUAAUGUCUACGGACCAAAGUGUGGGACCUUCGGGCCACAUGCUAUCGGAUGCGCCUACGUGGGAUU